UUUGAAUCAUAUAGCGAUAUGAUAAGUGUGACGGGAGCUUACAGAAGAGUUCGAUUGUUCAUUUAUCCAUUCAGUUUCAAUCGCGUUGCUGAAGUAAUGUAUCUCCAUUGGAGCCAAAGGGUAUGGAAAUCCCCAAAGCAUUUUUGAUUCCUCGCCAAUGUAGACGAAAGAAGUGAAAGGCUGCAACUGUUUUUAAGCUCCGCGUUCGGGUCUUUGAAUCGCAAACCUGAUUUAAUGGGUUAGAAAAUCGAUCACAUCGUUUUCCCGCAGAACUAGGGACCUAGUUGGAAACCAGCCUUUCUUUAAUUAUGGAAAGUAAGGUCUAUAAAGGUUCAAAAUCUGAUUUUACGGAAUUCGCUUAAAAUAAUAGUAGAAAUAAGAAAAAUUAAGAAAAAUUGGAACGGUACAAAAAAGUGCAACCUGUUUCUGGAAUUCUACAUGUAAGAUUUUACAUUUCACUAAUGAAGCAUACUUGUAGCAUACUUUUUGGGUUAAAAUUUCAUAUAUGAACGAUCCGGAAAGUAUGCAUAAGUAUUUUGAAUGCAGAAAAACUGGAUAUAUUGCAUAUCUCUCGCUGACAAUUAAUCCAACAAUUAAUAAUUCAGGAUACCAUAUUGAUUUGCAUAGCUGACACAUUUUCCACCGCGUUAUCCCUUUUGCGAAUCCUCAAAGCAGAGGACCGACUCUGCCUACUGCAGAUUGCAUGUGUGCACUCACACACACACAAAUAUGUAUGUGUCUUUGCAAUUAGCAGCGCUUUAUUUGCUGGUGUUGCUGGGGCGUUGCUGUUUUUGCCGCUGCCACCAGCGGUGGCAUGCUGCUGACAAAUGGAAAGCCAUAUGAGGCAAACUGGCCUGUGUAGUCGUACAAUGACCCACAUUGCGAUGCGCUUUUAUUAGACACGCGAGGCGCAAAAACAAAGGGCUCGACAAUGAGCCCAGGAAUCCAAAGUCCGUAUUCUGUAUUCCGGAUUCCGGACAAUGGCCCAACAAGGAGACGAAGAGGAGAACAACGCCACGACGCCGUCAUCGCCACGCAAACAAAACAAAGGCAAUGGAAAUGUGGCUCACACAGGACAUUAAACCCGUUGUGGUAAAAUAUUAAACACAUUUUCCCAUGCAAUUUUAUGUCCUUUGAACUAAUUCAUAUUCUCAAACUAUUGAAAUCAAAGUUGUUUCGUCACACCAGUCAAUAAAAAUCUCUUUUCUUUUUAUUUAUAAUAACACAUGUACACUGCCCAAAAACCUCCAAGAGGAUGUCCUUAGAAAAAAGACGUUCUUCUAAUAGGGUUGAAGUAAUAGAGGUUGUGGUGCGGCCCAAAAAGUAUUAUCCAGUGGGUCGUGACCGAACCGAAGAUGGCCGUGAUAAAAUUUUUGUCAGUAAAUAUGAAAAGUUUCGGAUAUUCAAAAAUGUGAUUAUCCUUUCUCUGGCCAUGAUGACGCAAUAUGUGGCCUACCAGGGCACCCUCAACCUGCAGUCAUCGCUUAAUGCCGAAGAUGGCUUGGGCACAAUCGCGUGUUCCUGCAUCUAUUUGAGCAUGGGACUAUCCUGCUUGUUCCUUCCGACCCUCAUGAUCCGUCAGCUGACCUGCAAGGGGACCCUGGUGCUAGGAAUGUUUUGUUUUCUUCCCUAUAUCGGCUUGCAACUCUUUUCAAGAUUUUAUACUUUGGUGCCGGCUGGCAUUCUACUUGGUUUGGCCGCUGCCCCCAUGUGGGCAGCUCAGGCCACCUACCUCACCCAGAUCAGUCAGAUAUAUGCCAUUAUCACCUCUUCAAGUGUGGACGCCGUGAUAACUCUGUUCUUCGGAAUAUUUUUCUUUGCUUGGCAAAAUGCCGAUACCAUAGGUAAUCUGCUCUCCAGCUUAGCCCCACCGACCCACUGGCCCUCCCACCACUGACUGGAUAAAUUUAUGCAAAUUGUGCGUGGUGUGAGAUGCGAACGAACAUGAGGCAUAAAUUGGCUUAUUGCGCUAUAAAUUGUAUUUAUUUUGAUGAAAUUUACACAAGGCAUGAACGAAACGCCAUGAAUCCAUGUUUGCCCGUUCACAUAUAUAUUUAUUCCAGCCGCUGCCCCAUCAGAUCUUAAAGCUCCGAGUCAUAUAUUUAAGGUUCUUUAUAAUGAACCGCAAUGCAGAAAACGCCUUGAUAAGAAAUUAAAUAUAAAAUGCGUGGGAAAAUGCUUCGGGUUUGCGACGAAAACGGAAAUGAGAUGCUUGUACAUGUUUCUUUUUUUCUUUUUUUUAUACACUUGGAAAAAAAAUGUUUAAAAGUCAAAAGGAAACUCAAUCUGUACAAGCAAAUCUUCUUUUUUUGGAUUAGAAGUUAUUUGUUUCUAAAAAUUUUUAUUUUAUUGCUCCUGGAUAGCCUCAGAUUAUUUUUUUCCAGUGCAUCGAAUUCUCAGCUAAGCGACAUUGAUGUUUAUGGAUUUUGAUUGCCCCCGCCUCAUCAUCUCACCAUCGUCCUAGGGCCAGGAGCGAUGCCAGGAUAAGCACGCUUCCCUGCACAGGGGCCACAUUGUCGCCUUGGCACGCCCCCUCGCCCCCACUGCGUCGCUCCCCGCGCUCCUCGGCCCCUCUUCCAACAUCGCAACAUUUAAUGAAUAUCGAAAUUGGCAAUUUCAAUAUUAAAGCGAUUUCGCCAGGCUAUAUGAGCUGUGCCAUGCCCGAUAAGAUUAGACCGAGAUGGCACCCCGUCCAUAUCCUUAUUCGGAUACAUAUAUUAGUGCGUGUGCAUAUGUGUGGGUGGUGGUGGUGUGGUGGAGCUGGAGCUGGAGGGGCUGGAUGUACUUAGUCGAUUCGAAAGUCAUUGGCGUGUAAAUUACGCCAGUCAUGAUGUUUUCCAUGCUUCGAUUUGAUGAUGCGGAAAAGUAAAACCACAAAAUCUGGUGCCCCAUUGGAGCUCCAGCGUAAAUCCCCCUUUAGUCCCGGACUCUGUGGCUCUGGAUAUGCAAAUGACAAUGCAGUUUCGGUUGUGUUUUCUUUUUCUAGAAUUAAUCAAGCAGCCAACCACUCGAACGAGUAAAUUGUUAUCCAGCCAGGGGAUCCAUUUCCCCUUCCUUGCCACCCCAAACUUUUCAAUCUAAUUGGCCAGCAGCUGCUGGGGACCCAUAUUCAUCUCUCUGUGGCACGAACGGCGGAAGGGGGGAUUCUUUAGUGUUUUGACUGCCAUUUGUAGUUGAGCCAGAACUCAUAAAAUCCAGUCAAGAGUUGUUACUGUCUAGUUACAUUCUGGGCAGACGAAGUCGGGCUAAGCCCUGGGGUUGGAUGUGAUUUUGGGGGACGGAGGCACUCCGGCCAGAGAGAUUCGUGAUGAAAUUUGCAACCACCGGAAUAAAAAGCAUCAGUAGCCGGCUUCAAUGUACAUAAACGGGAAUUAAUUUCCAACAAAAUGACAAGGCAAACGACUAACAUCGGAAGGGUGGGGCCCCAACAAGCCAAACUCAACUGAAGGAAUUCGAGGCAUUGAAAGGGUUAAGGGUAAAACAUCCUCAAAUGGAAUAAGGAAAACAACUGAGGUAGCACAGAAAACCCGCAAAAGAUCCUUUAACAACUUAAUUAAUUAAUGAAACGAAAACAUUUACAAAAUAAAGGGUGGGGAUUCUUUUUAUUUUAAAUUCAAAAAAGGCUUACACAAUCUCUAAUUAAACUAUCUGCAUUGCCUGUUUUUUGCUGGUCGUAUUACUCUAAAAUGAAUACUUUUUCUUACCCUUUAUUAUAUAAAUAUAAAUUCUUUAGGCCAACUUCCUCCAUUUGGCUAAAGAGGAAAAAAUCAAUCAACGCAACUGCAAUCACAUUUCGCUCGUCGAGCAAUCAACAUCCGUUACAUUAAUUUGAUGUUGCCCCUGCCACACUACCACGCACCAUCGUCGGCUAACAAUAUUAAAAUCCUUAUCAAAUCGAAAUUAAAAACCAGUUGAAAUUGCUUCCUUCGUCCUCCGUCUUCCACCGUUUCUGCACAAUUUCCAUUCCGGCAACAACUACAGUUCAUCUGGCAGCAGGAACCAGAAAUCACGGACCCCUUGGCCUGGCCCGGACCCAUAAAACUUAAAAUAAAUAUGCAGCGUGUGCCUCGGACUCUUCUGUGUCUCUGUGAGUGUGCGAGUAUCUGCCUGCCUGUGUAACCGAUAACAUCAUUAUUGAUGAAGCUUUGGCCAGAAGUCACAUCCAGCCCAGCCAGCCAGCCAGCCAUCCAGCCAACCAGCCAGCAAAUGGCAGAAAAGCAGAAAGGCAACUCGAACAGAUUGCAGAAAUGUGCGCCCAAGGAGCGCCGCAGACUCACAUUCAGAGAUAUAGAUGGAUAUAGAGGUCACCAUGCCACUCGCUGCUCCGGAACUUCCUCCUUUUCAAAGGACCUCAUUCGGGGGUGGAAAGCAGUCUCGUUUAGAGAUUGGAAAUCGUAGACAUCCUCGGCAUCGGCAUCGCCAUCGCCACCACCGUUGCAGUGGCAGUCGUCGUCGUCGUAAUAACUGUAAUUGAUUUUUGAUUUGUGAUUUAAUUUAACACAGUUAAAUGAAUUGAAGUGGGAAGAUGCCGGGGCUCAGGAAUGCUAUGGGGCUCAGGAAAAGGGCAGACCCAGGGAAAUCGUCCUGGCCAGAGGUGGCAAGUUAAGCCAGGGGCUGGGCUCGAGUAAAUAGGUGAUGAAAUGAAAAAGUCCUCUGAAUCUAUAAGGAUUUGCGUUCUUGUCAGUUCUGAAUUGGACAAAUAUUAAUAAUCAUAUUACUUUCAGAUAGAAAAACGCAGAUGACUUGACACUAUGUUUUUGACGUGAGAAUAUGUUUUUAAGUUAUCUGAUUUAUAUAUUUGUAUAUUUUUUAGAGAUUUGAUUUUUCAUAUAAAAUUUAUUCUAAUGCUUUAAUACUUUUCAGGAAUUCAAAACUUCUCCAUUUUCUUUACAGAUCCAGCCUCUUGUCACAAUUGCUCAUUUCUUAAACCAUUUUAUUUUAACUCCCCAGUUUAUGAAUAAAUAUUAUAUUAUUUUCUAUCCACAGCAAGGAAACUAUCGGGAACAGGAAAAAUACGAACAACUGGCAAAGGACUUGGCGGCUGCUAAGGGAAAUGAAAGGGACGCUAAGCUGGCCAAGGAGCAUGCCGAAAUAUAUAGCAAAAAAAUUAAACAACAGGCCGAGGACUCCGACGGGGAAGAUGACGACCUGGAUCAUGAUGUGAGGGUGGAGGACAGAGCUAAGAGGAUGUUCAAAUGUUUCUUCUCUCGGAAAAAAUGACAUAGAACAUAAAAUAUUAUUAAUACCGAGAUAGUUUUUUCGAACCACGCCUGCAAGGACAACGAAGGAGCCCUAUAAUUGCCACCCACAAAAAAACCCGAAAAAAAUCCAGCACACGAGCGGGGGAGCUGCAAUGGCAAUUACUUGGCGUUGAUGAUGGCCCAAGAUGCCUUCAGUUUUCACUGCAUUCGCAUCCUGGCAUCGAAGCCGGGUGAGGAGAAGGUCGUGGGACCGUAAAAGGACAAUGCUUUGAUUGCCCUGUGGAAGAUAAAGGAGAGACACGCCAGACGUUGUUAAUGUCUGGUCAUGAGUUAAACACUUCAAUAAAACGUGAGCGUGUGUGUAAGAGUGCUCUGGCCAGGGCUAUAAAACAAUUGUUUCACCAUAUUUAGUCCUUGGGCGGAAACCGAAUUAUAUUACACAUACGACACGUUGGCAUGUAUAGAGGGGGCUUUCUCGCCUGCAAAUAAUAAAAAUGAAAAGGAAUUCAAGAAGUUUUUGCAGCCACCUUAACAUUAUCAAAAACUAUUAAACUAUAAUUAUUUUUUAAAGCCUCUCUUUCCUAUAGUCUUCAGAUUUAAAGCCAUAGCCAAUAAAUCGUAAACAUUUCCGUAACCAACACAAAGGAGCUAAACAAA